rnacentral:rRNA from 1 species
UACAGAGGGUGCGAGCGUUAAUCGGAAUUACUGGGCGUAAAGCGUGCGUAGGCGGUUUGUUAAGACAGGUGUGAAAUCCCCGGGCUUAACCUGGGAACUGUGCUUGUUACUGGCAGACUGGAGUGUGGCAGAGGGGGGGUGGAAUUCCAGGUGUAGCAGUGAAAUGCGUAGAUAUCUGGAGGAACACCGAUGGCGAAGGCAGCCCCCCUGGGCUAACACUGACGCUGAUGCACGAAAGCGUGGGGAGCAAACAGG